CCCCGACCAAAGAAAGGCGGAAUGCCUACACGACCGCCCUCGCGACUUACCGACCUAGCUACGGCCGGUCGAAGGAUAUUCGGCUUGCCACCGUCUAUCGCACGAUGCGACCUCAGUCGCAUUCAUGACUCACCGACCGAGCUACGGUCGGCCGGGAGAUAUUCGGUUUACCACCGUAUAUCAUGAGGUGCAGUAUAGAUACCCGACACAAGGG
rnacentral:lncRNA from 1 species